rnacentral:rRNA from 1 species
CUGGGCUUGACAUCCCGAUCGCACUUUCUGGAAACAGUGAGGUCAGUUCGGCUGGAUCGGUGACAGGUGCUGCAUGGCUGUCGUCAGCUCGUGUCGUGAGAUGUUGGGUUAAGUCCCGCAACGAGCGCAACCCUUGUCCUUAGUUGCCAGCAUUCAGUUGGGCACUCUAAGGAGACUGCCGGUGUUAAACCGGAGGAAGGUGGGGAUGACGUCAAGUCCUCAUGGCCCUUAUGUCCAGGGCUACACACGUGCUACAAUGGCCGGUACAAAGGGUAGCGAGACCGCAAGGUUGAGCGAAUCCCAAAAAGCUGGUCUCAGUUCGGAUUGGAGUCUGCAACUCGACUCCAUGAAGUUGGAAUCGCUAGUAAUCGCGGAUCAGCAUGCCGCGGUGAAUACGUUCUCGGGUCUUGUACACA